rnacentral:rRNA from 1 species
CCCAGACUCCUACGGGAGGCAGCAGUGGGGGAUAUUGCACAAUGGGGGAAACCCUGAUGCAGCGACGCCGCGUGAGUGAAGAAGUAUUUCGGUAUGUAAAGCUCUAUCAGCAGGGAAGAAGAUGACAGUACCUGAGUAAGAAGCCCCGGCUAACUACGUGCCAGCAGCCGCGGUAAUACGUAGGGGGCGAGCGUUAUCCGGAUUCACUGGGUGUAAAGGGAGCGUAGACGGCCAUGCAAGCCAGGGGUGAAAGCCCGGGGCCCAACCCCGGGACUGCCCUUGGAACUGUGCGGCUAGAGUGCGGGAGGGGCAGGCGGAAUUCCUGGUGUAGCGGUGAAAUGCGUAGAUAUCAGGAGGAACACCGGUGGCGAAGGCGGCCUGCUGGACUGCGACUGACGUUGAGGCCCGAAAGCGUGGGGAGCAAACAGGAUUAGAUACCCUAGUAAA